GCAGCCCCCAGCGCAGGGCAGCUGGAGGGGAGCUCCGCCCAAUUGCCUGGGCGACGGACGCUGAUGCCACUGCCCUGCGCUGCGGCGCCAUCUGCAGUUGCAGUCUCGCGUGGCUGAGGGGCCUGAGCCGUGAGGCCACCGGAGAGUUGCACCAGCAUGGUUGAGGCACGGAAGGCCGAGAUGGUUUUGGAGUGGCUCGUUUGAACCGCUGCCUACUCGGCUUCAGAGAGAGACAGAUGUUGCAGACUCUGAGGGGUUUUUGGCCAAGAAGGGAGGCAAAUAGGAACAUGCCACGAAGGAGAAAUUCUCCCUCUCCAUCAAAUCUUGACUUAAAAACAUCUUGGAGGAUCCAGAACCUGGAACAUAUUUGAGGUUUUGAAAGCAAGAACACAGCUGAUAUGAAAAUGUUGAUGCUCAUUCUAACACAUUAAGAAUUUUAUACUUUAUUGAUAUUUUAUGUUCCUAUUAAUUACACAUUGUGUAAUAUAAUAAGAACCACCUGACAAAACAGCAAGACAAGCAAGAUGUCAAGUAUGUCCUACAAAAAGGCCAGA